GAAGCCAACCAGACAGUCGCCGCUUGGCAUUUGCUAGGGGGAGGAAAGUCCGGGCUGCACAGAGCGGGAUGACGGCUAACGGCCGUACGCUGAAAGCUGGAAACAGUAUAAGGUGAGGAAUAGGGCCACAGAGACGAGUCGGUUCGACCUGGGAGCAACUUGUUGCGAGCUUGCGUCGAAACGGGUGAAACGCGGUAACCUCCAUCUGCAGCAAUAUCAAAUAGGCUGGCAUUUUACGCAAGUAAUAAGGCGUGGCUCGCGCUGCCAGCGGGUAGAUAGCUUGAGCGUGUGAGUAAUUGCACGCCUAGAGGAAUGACUGUCAGCUACGCAAGUAGUUACAGAACCCGGCUUACCGGUUGGCUUUACUC
rfam:Methylophilus sp. Leaf416 contig_2, whole genome shotgun sequence.